GAUGAACGCUGGCGGCGUGCCUAAUACAUGCAAGUCGAGCGAACAGACGAGGAGCCUGCUCCUCUGACGUUAGCGGCGGACGGGUGAGUAACACGUGGAUAACCUACCUAUAAGACUGGGAUAACUUCGGGAAACCGGAGCUAAUACCGGAUAACAUGUUGAACCGCAUGGUUCAACAGUGAAAGACGGUCUUGCUGUCACUUAUAGAUGGAUCCGCGCCGCAUUAGCUAGUUGGUAAGGUAACGGCUUACCAAGGCAACGAUGCGUAGCCGACCUGAGAGGGUGAUCGGCCACACUGGAACUGAGACACGGUCCAGACUCCUACGGGAGGCAGCAGUAGGGAAUCUUCCGCAAUGGGCGAAAGCCUGACGGAGCAACGCCGCGUGAGUGAAGAAGGUCUUCGGAUCAUAAAACUCUGUUAUUAGGGAAGAACAAAUGUGUAAGUAACUAUGCACGUCUUGACGGUACCUAAUCAGAAAGCCACGGCUAACUACGUG
rnacentral:rRNA from 1 species